rnacentral:rRNA from 1 species
UACGUAGGGGGCAAGCGUUGUCCGGAUUUAUUGGGCGCAAAGAGCGUGUAGGCGGCUAGAUAGGUCCGUUGUGAAAACUCGAGGCUCAACCUCGAGACGCCGAUGGAAACCAUCUGGCUAGAGUCCGGAAGAGGAGAGUGGAAUUCCUGGUGUAGCGGUGAAAUGCGCAGAUAUCAAGAGGAACACCUGAGGUGAAGACGGGUUGCUGGGCUGACACUGACGCUGAGGCGCGAAAGCUAGGGUAGCAAACGGG